UACGAAGGGGGCUAGCGUUGCUCGGAAUCACUGGGCGUAAAGCGCACGUAGGCGGAUUGCUAAGUCAGGGGUGAAAUCCUGGAGCUCAACUCCAGAACAGCCUUUGAUACUGGCGAGCUUCGAGUCCGGGAGAGGUGAGUGGAACUGCGAGUGUAGAGGUGAAAUUCGUAGAUAUUCGCAAGAACACCAGUGGCGAAGGCGGCUCACUGGCCCGGUACUGACGCUGAGGUGCGAAAGCGUGGGGAGCAAACAGG
rnacentral:rRNA from 1 species